rnacentral:rRNA from 1 species
AUUGAACGCUGGCGGCAGGCCUAACACAUGCAAGUCGAACGAGUGGCGGACGGGUGAGUAAUGUCUGGGACACUGCCUGAUGGAGGGGGAUAACUACUGGAAACGGUAGCUACUACCGCCUACCAUCGGAUGUGCCCAGAUGGGAUUAGCUAGUAGGUGGGGUAAAGGCUCACCUAGGCGACGAUCCCUAGCUGGUCUGAGAGGAUGCCCAGCCACACUGGAACUGAGACACGGUCAAGAAGCCUACGGGAGGCAGCAGUGGGGAAUAUGGCACAAUGGGCGAAAGCCUGAUGAAGCCAUGCGGCGUGUAUGAAGAAGGCCUUCGGGUUGUAAAGUACUUUCAGCGGGGAGGCGUUACCCGCAGAAGAAGCACCGGCUAACUCCGUGCCAGCCGCCGCGGUAAUUC